UUGGAGGGCAAGUCUGGUGCCAGCAGCCGCGGUAAUUCCAGCUCCAAUAGCGUAUAUUAAAGUUGUUGCAGUUAAAAAGCUCGUAGUUGAAUUUCGGGAUCAAGGAAUCGGUCAUGCCUUGGUAUGUACUGGUUUUAUUGGUUCUCACCUUCUAAAGAACCAUAAUGUCAUUUAUUUGAUGUUAUGGGGAAUUAGGACUGUUACCUUGAAAAAAUUAGAGUGUUUAAAGCAAGCUUACGCUUGAAUACAUUAGCAUGGAAUAAUGAAAUAGGACAUCAGAUUCUAUUUUGUUGGUUUCUAGGAUCGAUGUAAUGAUUAAUAGGGAUAGUUGGGGGCAUUAGUAUUCAAUUGUCAGAGGUGAAAUUCUUGGAUUUAUUGAAGACUAACUACUGCGAAAGCAUUUGCCAAGGAUGUUUUCAUUAAUCAAGAACGAAAGUUAGGGGAUCGAAGACGAUCAGAUACCGUCGUAGUCUUAACCAUAAACUAUGCCGACUAGGGAUCGGAUGAUGUUAAUUUUAUAAUGACUCAUUCGGCGCCUUACGGGAAAC
rnacentral:rRNA from 1 species